AGAGAGAGAGAGGCGGCCAGGCGGGCGCUUCAGGAACUGGGGGCGGCGCGGCUGCUGCAGGACGGCGGAAAAUCUGCAGCGUGCAAGGGGGAGACGCGAGAGGCUUCGUGCUCCGCCAGCCCCGGAGCUGGAGCAGAGAAGGCGCCUCCGCCAGCCGAACAUUCCGCGGCGGGAGUUUUGCCGGGCUGCGGGAUUGCCGUCCAAGUUCUGGAAAACACUGCAGAAAGAAGAAAAGGCAUGAAGGAUUGGGGUGUUCACUACGCUGUCUCUUAGCUCUACUUGGCACCUCUGCAUAUGCCCAGCUUUAAGUUAAAUCAGGCUCAGAAUAUGGAUUUGUUUUAUGUAUGUACUUGUGCUCCCCUUUAAUAUUUACAUUUAUUAAAAGCUGCUAACCGUAA